rnacentral:lncRNA from 1 species
GGCAACCUACUUUUGGGUUCGAUCUAAUCAUUUUGUUUUGUUGUUUUUCAUUAUUUUUCCUCUUUUAAAGAAAAACAAAAGCCAUAAAGAAUGAUAAAAUAAAGGUAGACAACGAGAGAAAAGAAAAGAGCAGAGAUUGAUACGAAAAAAAAAGAGAAAAGAGAGGGAAAGAAAAAUAAUAAUAAGUGUAGAUAAAAAAUAGUGUAGACAAAAAUCAGGAUGAUGUUAAAAUGACAUCGCUACCCUCAAAAGUUGGUAGAAAUGAGCAUGAAUUUAGGGCAAUUUUACCAAUGUGAUU